rnacentral:rRNA from 1 species
CAUGCAAGUCGAACGAUGAAGUCUAGCUUGCUAGACGGAUUAGUGGCGAACGGGUGAGUAAUGCUUAGGAAUCUGCCUAUUAGUGGGGGAUAACGUAGGGAAACUUACGCUAAUACCGCAUACGUCUUACGAGAGAAAGGGGGCUUUUAGCUCUCGCUAAUAGAUGAGCCUAAGUCGGAUUAGCUAGUUGGUGGGGUAAAGGCCUACCAAGGCGACGAUCUGUAGCUGGUCUGAGAGGAUGAUCAGCCACACUGGGACUGAGACACGGCCCAGACUCCUACGGGAGGCAGCAGUGGGGAAUAUUGGACAAUGGGCGAAAGCCUGAUCCAGCCAUGCCGCGUGUGUGAAGAAGGCCUUUUGGUUGUAAAGCACUUUAAGUGGGGAGGAAAAGCUUGUGGUUAAUACCUACAAGCCCUGACGUUACCCACAGAAUAAGCACCGGCUAA